rnacentral:rRNA from 1 species
GUGCCAGCCGCCGCGGUAAUACGUAGGGUGCAAGCGUUAAUCGGAAUUACUGGGCGUAAAGCGUGCGCAGGCGGUUAUGUAAGACAGAUGUGAAAUCCCCGGGCUUAACCUGGGAACUGCAUUUGUGACUGCAUAGCUUGAGUACGGUAGAGGGGGGUAGAAUUCCACGUGUAGCAGUGAAAUGCGUAGAGAUGUGGAGGAAUACCGAUGGCGAAGGCAGCCCCCUGGACCGUAACUGACGCUCAUGCACGAAAGCGUGGGGAGCAAACAGGAUUAGAUACCCUGGUAGUCCACGCCCUAAACGAUGUCAACUAGUUGUCGGGUCGUCAGACUCGGUAACGCAGCUAACGCGUGAAGUUGACCGCCUGGGGAGUACGGUCGCAAGAUUAAAACUCAAAUGAAUUGACGG